UCUGGGCCUCUGCUUAUCUUCUACAUCCCCUAGUGCAGUGUCCUGACGUGGCACAGCAGUGCCCAGCAGUGCCCAGCAGUGCCCAGUGAGGCUUCAGCUGCUGCUGAGGUGGGACCUGAGCAGGCUGGAGCUGCUGCAGAGCUGCACCACCCAAACUGCUGCUGAGCCUGAGCAGUGCUGGACACACACUGGGGGCUGCUGGGCACUGCACAACUCACAGCUGUCUUUCCAGAGCACUCUGCUGUCCCCUCCUCCAUUCUCUGCUCCAAAUGUGGAAUGUCUGCAAGGUAAUUGGGUUCCAUUAUUUGAUAUAUAAAGUGGGAGUGGGAGGGAGGGUCAGGGAGGACAAAUUAAAAUGAAUUGAGAAUCUUUAUGUGAAGGGAAAAGAGGACUGGAGGGAGCCAUGAUAACUCUUUACAAAUACUUAGAGGGACAUUAUGAAGAGGACAGAGACCAAUUACUCUCAUUAGUCAGUGCAGCAGAACGAGAAGUAAUGUUGUGUGCUGCUGGAGGGAGACCUGGGCUGUGAUGCAAAAGUUCUAAGGGUAACACCACAGAAGGAGUCGUCAGGGGAAGGUUUGUCCUGGCUUCACUGAAGAACCUGGUCUGGAGUUCAGGCAAAUGACAUGCAGACUUCCAGCCGCAGUUUAGGAAAAGUUGAACACUUGCCAGUGACAAGUGCAGGCUCUGGACUCUUGCAAAAGGGAGAAGGAAUUAAAUUAUGUUAGUUGGUGAUGAAAAGACAUAAGAAAUGCAGAAAGAGGACAAAGGAAAAAGGUAACCAUGGAGGUAAAACAAAGAGCUGCUGUUGGAGGUACAGCUGUCACUACACCCAUUCAGGGGAAAUAGAUGAUCAAAGGGGGAAAGACAGGAAAACACCAUUUAAGGAAUAAAUGCAAAGUUAUGAUGCCUC